rnacentral:tRNA from 1 species
GCCCAGGUGGUGAAAUUGGUAUACACGCUACCUUGAGGUGGUAGUGCCGCAAGGUGUGGAGGUUCAAGUCCUCUCCUGGGCACCA